rnacentral:rRNA from 1 species
CCAGGUCAGGCGGGGCCACCCGCUGAGUU